CCCCAGCCUCCUCCCACGGGCAGGGGCAAUGCGAGCAGCACCCUCACCCCAUGGACCGGGGACGGCUGUCUGAGCCCGGCUCUCCAUCGGGGCUCGGGGCUCGGUGUCACCUCGCCUACAGCCAAGGGAGGCCCGUGGCACCACCCCUGGCGGCCACUGUCCCCAAAGUCACGCUCACCUGACUGACCAGUCGCGGGCGCGAGCUGCGCCUCCUCCACGAACUCGACACUCGCGUCGAGGUGGGCAGUGCGAGACGGCAGAGCCGCUCACAGAGGGCACGAGUGCCUCCAACUGCUAGGGACGAGAGCAGACAGGGUGCCGGGCAGUGGGCGGAAUUUCGGGGUGCUGCCAUUCCACCAGGCCAUGGGGUGACAGGUGCAGCCUGAAGGGCUUCCCAGCUUCAUCCGCAUGUCUCUCAGCAGCGAGGUGAUAGGAUGCCUCGUCAUCAGGAGCCGCUGUCCUCCCUCAGGUGUCAGCUUCCACCUCAUGUCCCUUUGCUGUUUGGUCUUUUAAAGAGCGGGUUUGCGGAAGCACCCUCCACUCAGGAAAUCGGAAGGGCAGACAUUUCCCUGUUCCGUGCUCUUCUCUGACUCCGAUUACACAUUUCCCACAGAGACACGUGACUCUGUGGGGUGCAUGUGUCACUUGUUGUAAGUGGCUCCCGGGACGCGUGUUCCCUUGGAAAGGCUGUUCUGGGUCACGGCAGCAUCACACUGAGUCAUCUCUGUGUUUUCAUUGCUGUCAGGCUCGUCCCUCUGGUGACAGCUCCUCAAGUUUUCCUGGACUUUCUUGUUCAGUGAUUUCUCCAUGUGAACUUAAAAUCAGCUCAUCUAGGUCCCCAAAUCCCCGAAUCAUGUUUUCCUGGGCUCAUCUGUACUUUGACAUAAGGAGAAGCACAUCUUCUCGGGGGCCUCCUGUCCAGCGAAGGGACAGCUGUCCUCUCACUCCCUCCUGGUACUGGAUGCCGACGGUGCUGGACUCAAGCGAUUCCUGCUGGGACAGGGAAGGGGGUGGCUGGCUGGCACACGGACUCUCACCUGGCAGGGAGUGGUGGGUGAGGGGUCUCUGUACAUCUGUGACACAAAGAACCUCAUAAGAGUAACACCAAUGCGAACAACAACCCUCACAGGCACCACGCCAGCUCUGAGUGCUGUUGGCCUGUUGAUGCCAAUGUCACCCUGCACGGCGGUCGCCCUCCAGCUCUGGCUCCCACAGAGGCAAUGAG
rnacentral:lncRNA from 1 species